CCUACGUGCGGCAGCAGUGGGGAAUAUUGGACAAUGGGCGAAAGCCUGAUCCAGCCAUGCCGCGUGUGUGAAGAAGGCCUUCGGGUUGUAAAGCACUUUCAGUGGGGAAGAAAGCCUUGGGGCUAAUACCCUCGAGGAAGGACAUCACCCACAGAAGAAGCACCGGCUAACUCCGUGCCAGCAGCCGCGGUAAUACGGAGGGUGCGAGCGUUAAUCGGAAUUACGGGGCGUAAAGCGCGCGUAGGCGGUCUGAUAAGCCGGUUGUGAAAGCCCCGGGCUCAACCUGGGAACGGCAUCCGGAACUGUCAGGCUAGAGUGCAGGAGAGGAAGGUAGAAUUCCCGGUGUAGCGGUGAAAUGCGUAGAGAUCGGGAGGAAUUCCAGUGGCGAAGGCGGCCUUCUGGACUGACACUGACGCUGAGGUGCGAAAGCGUGGGUAGCAAACAGGAUUAGAUACCCCAGUAGUC
rnacentral:rRNA from 1 species